CAGUAACUUGCCUAUGGCCACACCAUUAAUAAGGGAUGGAACCAGUAUUUGCAGCCAGCAGUCAGGCUCCCAGGUCUGUCCUGCUCAGCACCAUGUUAUACCCUACAAAGAAGACCAGGGCAGAAUGUGCCUCCUGGAAGCAGAUCCCUGCUGUUUUUCUGCGUGAUGCUGAUUGCUGGCUCUGGUUCCCAGGAGGCGCCCAAGAUCGGAUUAACUGCCAGCUUCCUGAUGCACAGCCUUGUUAUCAGCGCCUAUAUCCUUGUUCAGCAAAGUGCCUCUCCACCAACUUAAUGUUCUUUUCACCACCCCAUUUCUGCACGAUGUAGUCACAGUAAGACACAGAGUGUGCAGUCCCGAUCCCAGUGCUACAUAAUAAAGAUCCAGAGCUCACUUUUGUUGCACUCAUGUUCUCGCCAACUGCUGGUCACUAGACUAUCAGGAACAAUAAGCGCAAUUUUGGAAAGGGUGAUGCCUUGGGAUUUUAUUGCUGCACUACACUAGGACAAGGAAAGCAAUUGUACUGUGCAGUGUUGCCCAGCAUUUGAGAACUCUUUGUUGUUUUUGCCACAUUCAAGGCUUUUUGUAGGUAUCCUUUAUCAGGUUUAAGAAUUACAGAUUACAGGCAUGAGCCACAGCUAGGCACAAUGGCUCAUGCCUGUAAUCCCAGCACUUUGGGAGGCUGAGGCAGGAAACUUGCUUGAGCCCAGGAGUGCAAGACCUCCCUGGUCAACAUGGCAAGGCCUCAUCUCUAUAAAAAAUUUCUUAAAAAAUUAGUUGCUGGGCAUUGUGGCAUACACCUAUGGUUCCAGCUACUUGGGAGGUGGAGGUAAAAGGAUUGGUUGAGCCCAGGAGGUCAAGACUGCAGUGAGCCAUGUUUAUGCCACUGCACUCUAGCCUGGGCAACAGAGCAAGACCCUGUCUCAAAAAUAAUUAAAUAAUAAUAAUUUCCCUUCUAUUCCUAGUUCGCUGUUUUUUUUUCAUGAGUGAAUGUUGAAUUUUUUAAAUGCUUUCUCUGCAUCAAUUGAUAUAAUCAUGUGCUUUUUCUUUUGACUAUUAAUAGGGUGACUUGCAUUGAUUGAUUUUCACAGACUGAACUAUUUUUGCAUUCUCAGGAUAAACUCCACUUGGUUGUGGCGUAGUAUUCUUUUUUUAUAUUGCUGGAUUGUUGUGCUAAUAAUUUGUUGGGGGGUUUUGUGUCUAUGGUCAUGAGGAUAUUGACCUGCAGUUUCCUUGUCUUGUUACUGCCUUCGUCUAGUUUUGCUUUCAGUGUAAUGCUAGCCUCAUAAAAUGAGUUGGGAAGUAUUUCUUUCUCUUCUAUUUCCUGAAAGAAAUUGUUGAGGAUUGAUUUCUUUUUUAAAUAUUUGAUAGACUUACUGAAACUCUAGUUUUUAAAGAUUUUUUAUUAUGGAUUCAAUUACUUUUGAUAAUUAUAAGAUCAUUCAGAUUAUCUAUUUUGUCUUGGGUUAGUUUUGGUAACUUCUGGUUUUCUGAGGACCUAGUCUGUUUCAUCUACAUUGACAAAUGUAUGUGAAUAAGAAACUUAUGCUUCAGUCCUGCAGCCACAAGGAAAUAAAUUCUGCCAACAACCUGAGGAAGUUUGGAAUCAGAUUCUGCACUUCCCCCCACCAUCAUCCACCCCCAAGCUUCUGAUGAGGCCACAGCUUCAUCCAAGACCCUGAGGGUUAAAACUUGGUGAGGCCCUGAAGUAAAGUAACCAACUAAGCCAUACCCAGGCUUCUGACCCCUGAGAUAAUAAAUAUGUGUUGUUUUAAGCCACUACUUGUAGUAAUCUGUUACACAGCAUUUAAGCCACUACCUGUAGUAAUCUGUAGCAUAGCAUUUAAACCACUACUUACAGGAAUCUGUUACAUAGCAUUUAAGCCUCUACCUGUAGUAAUCUGUUACUUAGCAUUUAAACCACUACUUGUAGUAAUCUGUUACGCAGCAUUUAAGCCACUAUCUGUAGUAACCUGUUACAUAGCAUUUAAAC
rnacentral:lncRNA from 10 species